GUAGUACUCCCUCCGUUCUGAAUUACUUGUCUUGGAUUUGUCUAGAUACGGAUGUAUCUAGAUUUAUUUUAAUGCUAGAUACCUCCGUAUCUAGACAAAUCUAAGACAAGUAAUUCGGAACGGAGGGAGUACAUG
rnacentral:pre_miRNA from 1 species